CAGCCGCCGCGGUAAUACGAAGGGUGCAAGCGUUAAUCGGAAUUACUGGGCGUAAAGCGCGCGUAGGUGGUUUGGUAAGAUGGAUGUGAAAUCCCCGGGCUCAACCUGGGAACUGCAUCCAUAACUGCCUGACUAGAGUACGGUAGAGGGUGGUGGAAUUUCCUGUGUAGCGGUGAAAUGCGUAGAUAUAGGAAGGAACACCAGUGGCGAAGGCGACCACCUGGACUGAUACUGACACUGAGGUGCGAAAGCGUGGGGAGCAAACAGGAUUAGAUACCCGAGUAGUCCCUGUCUCUUAUAC
rnacentral:rRNA from 1 species